UACGUAGGUGGCAAGCGUUGCUCGGAUUUACUGGGCGUAAAGGAUGCGUAGGCGGAUGUUUAAGUGAGAUGUGAAAUACCCGGGCUCAACUUGGGUGCUGCAUUUCAAACUGGAUAUCUAGAGUGCAGGAGAGGAAAGUGGAAUUCCUAGUGUAGCGGUGAAAUGCGUAGAGAUUAGGAAGAACAUCAGUGGCGAAGGCGACUUUCUGGACUGUAACUGACGCUGAGGCAUGAAAGCGUGGGGAGCAAACAGG
rnacentral:rRNA from 1 species